UGCCAGCCGCCGCGGUAAUACGGAGGGGGCUAGCGUUGCUCGGAAUUACUGGGCGUAAAGGGCGCGUAGGCGGAUUUUCUAGUCAGGCGUGAAAGCCCCGGGCUCAACCCGGGAAUUGCGUUUGAUACUGGAAGUCUAGAGUUCUGGAGAGGGUGGUGGAAUUCCCAGUGUAGAGGUGAAAUUCGUAGAUAUUCGGAGGAACACCAGUGGCGAAGGCGGCUUUCUGGCUCGGUACUGACGCUGAGAUGCGAAAGCGUGGGGAGCAAACAGGAUUAGAUA
rnacentral:rRNA from 1 species